AUCUUGGGAGGGGGGCCGAGGCCGCGGCCUUCGCUUCUUGGGCCGCUGGGGCAGGGCUGGUCAUGGAGAGACGGAUCUGAGGGAAUGGGGUUGUUCCAUCGCACGGCAAGCCCUAGGGGAAAAAGAUAGCCAUUUCCAACAGAAGUCACCUUCCUGCCGCAAGCAAAGGGAUGCUUUUCCACUGGGGAGUCUUCAGUCUUUGCUGGUGCAGGGCCCAGAAGGUGGAAGAAGAAAGGACAGCUGGAGGUGGUUGUGUUUUGUGGGCUCCCAAGGCAGCAUCUCCUUCUGUCAUUGCAUGAGACAGAUUGUUCCCUGGCUGGACCACCGGUCCCACUCCAGUAUCUUGGCAACGCUCCAUUGAUCCGGUAGAUGUUACCGGUGAAUAUUUUUUGAAGCGCCCUGAAAUGCCUGGGAUUAAACAGCUAGUGUAGGGUAGGGUUUUGCCACCACCAAAACUCUUCAGCCAGAUAUUAAUGAGUUACAUUUGUGUUAAGCCAGGGGACCAAGUGAGAGUCUCCAACUGAUUGCAUGUGGUUGCACAAGGACUAGAGGGUGAUCAGCCUUGGUACCUGAUAAAGAAGAUGACCAUAAAUGCGAUGCCACUUCUUGCCCUUGUAAGCUGUGUCGAAAGCAGUGUGUUUUCAAUGGCAGAUGAAUGUCGCUGGAUGUCCAGCUUUUUCCAUCUGCUCUCUAUCAGGGACUUGACAUUGUAACACAGCUGUGCCUAUGAAAUAAGUAUGAAAAGAUAAAGCUGACUGGAGCACUCCUAAGGUUCAUUUAAAACAACCUGAGUAAAAUUACUUCAGAUUCAAAGCGA